rnacentral:rRNA from 1 species
UACGUAGGGCGCAAGCGUGGUCCGGAAUUAUUGGGCGUAAAGAGCUCGUAGGUGGUGUGUCGCGUCUGCCGUGAAAGCCCGGGGCUUAACUCCGGGUCUGCGGUGGAUACGGGCAGACUAGAGGCAGGUAGGGGAGGACGGAAUUCCCGGUGUAGCGGUGAAAUGCGCAGAUAUCGGGAAGAACACCCGUGGCGAAGGCGGCUCUCUGGGACGGUACUGACGCUGAGACGCGAAAGCGUGGGGAGCGAACAGG